AUGAGUACACUUUAAAUCCUUUAACGAGUAUCCAUUGGAGGGCAAGUCUGGUGCCAGCAGCCGCGGUAAUUCCAGCUCCAAUAGCGUAUAUUAAAGUUGUUGCGGUUAAAAAGCUCGUAGUUGGACUUGUGUCCCACGCUGUCGGUUCACCGCCCGUCGGUGUUUAACUGACAUGUAUCGUGGGACGUCCUGCCGGUGGUGGCGAGUCGAAAGAUCGCGCCCCUGCGGUUCGCCGCGGGUGGUUGCGAUUCGUAGGCGGACCCCGAUGAAAUCCUACCGCGGUGCUCUUAAACGAGUGUCGAGGUGGGCCGGCACGUUUACUUUGAACAAAUUAGAGUGCUUAAAGCAGGCCUGAUGCGCCUGAAUACUGUGUGCAUGGAAUAAUGGAAUAGGACCUCGGUUCUAUUUUGUUGGUUUUCGGAACCCGAGGUAAUGAUUAAUAGGGACAGUCGGGGGCAUUCGUAUUGCGACGUUAGAGGUGAAAUUCUUGGAUCGUCGCAAGACGGACCGAAGCGAAAGCAUUUGCCAAGUAUGUUUUCAUUAAUCAAGAACGAAAGUUAGAGGUUCGAAGGCGAUCAGAUACCGCCCUAGUUCUAACCAUAAACGAUGCCAGCUAGCGAUCCGCCGAAGUUCCUCCGAUGACUCGGCGGGCAGCUCCCGGGAAACCAAAGCUUUUGGGUUCCGGGGGAAGUAUGGUUGCAAAGCUGAAACUUAAAGGAAUUGACGGAAGGGCACCACCAGGAGUGGAGCCUGCGGCUUAAUUUGACUCAACACGGGAAACCUCACCAGGCCCGGACACUGGAAGGAU
rnacentral:rRNA from 1 species